rnacentral:rRNA from 1 species
UACAUGGGGUGCAACCGUUGCUCGGAAUUAUUGGGCGUAAAGCGCGCGUAGGCGGUUACUCAAGUCGGAUGUGAAAGCCCUCGGCUUAACUGAGGAAGUGCACCCGAAACUGAGUAGCUAGAGUACCAAAGAGGGUCGCGGAAUUCCCGGUGUAGAGGUGAAAUUCGUAGAUAUCGGGAGGAACACCGGUGGCGAAGGCGGCGACCUGGGUGGAUACUGACGCUGAGGCGCGAAAGCGUGGGGAGCAAACAGG